rfam:Aedes aegypti strain Liverpool supercont1.190 genomic scaffold, whole genome shotgun sequence.
UGCCCAGUAACUCCUAUCCCUACCUCCCCGUGGUGCCGCCUGUGGUACAAGUAACCGUAGAGAAGAUCGGGUGGGACCUUGGUCGUAUGCUGACAGGGAAGG